rnacentral:rRNA from 1 species
CCCUACGGGGGGCAGCAGUAGGGAAUUUUCGUCAAUGGGCGCAAGCCUGAACGAGCAAUGCCGCGUGAACGAGGAAGGUCUUCGGAUCGUAAAGUUCUGUUGUAGGGGAAGAAGAGCGGAGAGAGGAAAUGAACUCCGAUUGAUAUUACCCUUCGAGGAAGUCACGGCUAACUACGGGCCAGCAGCCGCGGUAAUACGUAGGUGGCGAGCGUUAUCCGGAAUGAUUGGGCGUAAAGGGUGCGUAGGCGGCCUGCUAAGUCUGGAGUGAAAGGUACCGGCUCAACCGGUACAGGCUCUGGAAACUG